rnacentral:rRNA from 1 species
CUGGGCGUUAAGUUGCAGGGUAUAGACCCGAAACCCGGUGAUCUAGCCAUGGGCAGGUUGAAGGUUGGGUAACACUAACUGGAGGACCGAACCGACUAAUGUUGAAAAAUUAGCGGAUGACUUGUGGCUGGGGGUGAAAGGCCAAUCAAACCGGGAGAUAGCUGGUUCUCCCCGAAAGCUAUUUAGGUAGCGCCUCGUGAAUUCAUCUCCGGGGGUAGAGCACUGUUUCGGCAAGGGGGUCAUCCCGACUUACCAACCCGAUGCAAACUGCGAAUACCGGAGAAUGUUAUCACGGGAGACACACGGCGGGUGCUAACGUCCGUCGUGAAGAGGGAAACAACCCAGACCGCCAGCUAAGGUCCCAAAGUCAUGGUUAAGUGGGAAACGAUGUGGGAAGGCCCAGACAGCCAGGAUGUUGGCUUAGAAGCAGCCAUCAUUUAAAGAAAGCGUAAUAGCUCACUGGUCGAGUCGGCCUGCGCGGAAGAUGUAACGGGGCUAAACCAUGCACCGAAGCUGCGGCAGCGACGCUUAUGCGUUGUUGGGUAGGGGAGCGUUCUGUAAGCCUGUGAAGGUGUACUGUGAGGUAUGCUGGAGGUAUCAGAAGUGCGAAUGCUGACAUAAGUAACGAUAAAGCGGGUGAAAAGCCCGCUCGCCGGAAGACCAAGGGUUCCUGUCCAACGUUAAUCGGGGCAGGGUGAGUCGACCCCUAAGGCGAGGCCGAAAGGCGUAGUCGAUGGGAAACAGGUUAAUAUUCCUGUACUUGGUGUUACUGCGAAGGGGGGACGGAGAAGGCUAUGUUGGCCGGGCGACGGUUGUCCCGGUUUAAGCGUGUAGGCUGGUUUUCCAGGCAAAUCCGGAAAAUCAAGGCUGAGGCGUGAUGACGAGGCACUACGGUGCUGAAGCAACAAAUGCCCUGCUUCCAGGAAAAGCCUCUAAGCAUCAGGUAACAUCAAAUCGUACCCCAAACCGACACAGGUGGUCAGGUAGAGAAUACCAAGGCGCUUGAGAGAACUCGGGUGAAGGAACUAGGCAAAAUGGUGCCGUAACUUCGGGAGAAGGCACGCUGAUAUGUAGGUGAAGCGACUUGCUCGUGGAGCUGAAAUCAGUCGAAGAUACCAGCUGGCUGCAACUGUUUAUUAAAAACACAGCACUGUGCAAACACGAAAGUGGACGUAUACGGUGUGACGCCUGCCCGGUGCCGGAAGGUUAAUUGAUGGGGUUAGCGGUAACGCGAAGCUCUUGAUCGAAGCCCCGGUAAACGGCGGCCGUAACUAUAACGGUCCUAAGGUAGCGAAAUUCCUUGUCGGGUAAGUUCCGACCUGCACGAAUGGCGUAAUGAUGGCCAGGCUGUCUCCACCCGAGACUCAGUGAAAUUGAACUCGCUGUGAAGAUGCAGUGUACCCGCGGCAAGACGGAAAGACCCCGUGAACCUUUACUAUAGCUUGACACUGAACAUUGAGCCUUGAUGUGUAGGAUAGGUGGGAGGCUUUGAAGUGUGGACGCCAGUCUGCAUGGAGCCGACCUUGAAAUACCACCCUUUAAUGUUUGAUGUUCUAACGUUGGCCCCUAAUCGGGGUUGCGGACAGUGUCUGGUGGGUAGUUUGACUGGGGCGGUCUCCUCCUAAAGAGUAACGGAGGAGCACGAAGGUUGGCUAAUCCUGGUCGGACAUCAGGAGGUUAGUGCAAUGGCAUAAGCCAGCUUGACUGCGAGCGUGACGGCGCGAGCAGGUGCGAAAGCAGGUCAUAGUGAUCCGGUGGUUCUGAAUGGAAGGGCCAUCGCUCAACGGAUAAAAGGUACUCCGGGGAUAACAGGCUGAUACCGCCCAAGAGUUCAUAUCGACGGCGGUGUUUGGCACCUCGAUGUCGGCUCAUCACAUCCUGGGGCUGAAGUAGGUCCCAAGGGUAUGGCUGUUCGCCAUUUAAAGUGGUACGCGAGCUGGGUUUAGAACGUCGUGAGACAGUUCGGUCCCUAUCUGCCGUGGGCGCUGGAGAACUGAGGGGGGCUGCUCCUAGUACGAGAGGACCGGAGUGGACGCAUCACUGGUGUUCGGGUUGUCAUGCCAAUGGCACUGCCCGGUAGCUAAAUGCGGAAGAGAUAAGUGCUGAAAGCAUCUAAGCACGAAACUUGC